rnacentral:rRNA from 1 species
AUGUCGUUCCUCACGGCCCGGCAGGCCGUGCAGACGUGCGUGCUGUCGCGGAGGUGGGAGGACCUCUGGUGCUCCAUGCCCUGCCUCAACAUAGACGAGCGGGAGUUUCGCACCUCAGCGUCCGAUUCCGAGGAUGAGGAUGAGGCUGGCCCUGACUGUGCUAGGUUUGAGGAUUUCGUCAUCAAUCUGCUGAUGUUUCACAGUGCGGCAACAUUGGAUAUGUUCAGGUUUCAUACUGUUUCUCGACGAAAGAUUAAAUUUGCCGACCAAUGGCUACGCCGUGGCAUCAAGCGCUUCCCCAAAGUGGCGGAUAUUGAUUCGAAUUGCUCUUAUAAAUUACCACGUUUCGGUUCCAGUUCUUCACGCCUCAACAGGCUGCAUCUUUCUGGCAUUACUUUGGACAAAACCUUCACCCAACAGCUACGUUCUGGCUGCCCGGUCUUGGAAGAUUUGGAGCUCAACUGGUGUGUCCUUGAAGAUGCAGAAAUCGCAUCUUGCACACUGAAGAGCUUGACAAUUGAGCAUUGUACAAUUUACCGUCCUAGUGUGCUGACUAUCAAAGUUCCGUCUCUUACUUGCUUGGAGCUGGUCUCUUUUAGUCACAAUUGGGAUGCUGUUGUAGCAAACGAGAUGCCGUUCCUCAUCAAAGCCACCAUUUGCAUAAUCAAUUCGAUACAGAUACUGCCAUGGGAGCUUCUUUUCAGCCUAAUUAACGUGAAAGAUUUAAAACUGACUGGCUUUCAAGCACCGGCGAAUCUUCAUGUUGGAUCGGAUACUUUCCCUGUGUUCCAUAAUAUUAGAACCUUGCUGUUUGACACAUGCGAUCUAAGUGACAAGUUUGAUAUGCGGGGAUGCUUUCUGAACAAUGCCCCUGGUUUAGAGAAGCUUACACUUGAAAAUUGCACGCUUCCAGAAGCUUCUAAGGGAAGCAAGACAGGAGGAAAUCUGAAGAGGGCAUCUCUAGAAUACGAUGACGCGCUUACUUUCCAAUGCCCAAGCCUGAAGUUGACUGAAAUCAAAUACAUAUAUGACGACGAUGUUCAGAAACUGUUUGACCUUUUGCUUGGCGCUUGGAGGAACCUACAGAAUACUAACAUUGUGAUUAAUAAGAAGACUUAG